rnacentral:lncRNA from 1 species
CUCAUUUUUCCCGGGCUUUCGGUCAGCGUUUUCCUUUUCUCGCGGGUUUGGGCGCGCAUCGAACUCUGAAGGGUCGGGAAGGCCUGUCGUUGGAAUGUGGUUGAGUUCCAGGGAGUGUACAGGCUGGAGGAUGGGACAAGACCUAUCUCUGUAUCGAUCAAGCACGGCGUUGGUGUUCCAGCUCAUCACCAAUCCUAAGGAAUUCAAGUGCCUCCCAGGAUGAAUACAGGUUGUCUUGAUGGUGAUACAUUCAUCUGUCUUAAGAUCCCUGCUGAUCUGCUCAUGGUCAAACUCAUGGAAAGAGUUGAGAGUGGUGAGUACUUGUAACCUUGGUUAUAACUUGUCUCCAGUGCCAGUGAGGAGAGCAAGCAUCCUGUCUUAACCCCUGUCCUAGCCCCAGAGCCAGUAAUGGUGAACCCACUGGGGCUAACAGGGAGAGAGGAUGAAAACAUGUUCCGUAAGGAACUGUCUGAGGUACAGCAACUGCCAAUGGGUAGCAUUUGUUUAGCUUCCCUUGGCUUACAUAUUAGCUGGGAUCCUUUUGGUUUUUUAAGGUACUCUACUGAUUUCAUGAUCUUCUCAUUCAGGGGCACCUUGUUCCUGCAUCCUCAAAGGAGCAUCUUGUUCCUCCAUUUAAGCUUCCAGAGUUAAAAGGUACCUGUACCAUUUAGCGGCUUGUUCACUCAAAGGUGAGUGAUUUAUAUGUUGGUGCAUACCGUGUACUGAGGGAGAAAAUGCCUUUUUAGGCAUCUACACAUGAUGACUUACAUGGAAUCUCGUUCGGCUGAUGAUUUGCUGUUGAGACUCGGAAAUCUGAUUUUUUUUUUCUUUUAAGAACUUAAGUGGGAACAAAUUUUAAUGUAGGAAGUAAGCAUUACUGACUCAUUCUUGUUUUGUUUUAGAUCCAUCUUGUCUGGAGCCUGAGGAUGAUUGGAGGUAAAUCUGUUUAUCUAUGGCUGCUAUGUAAAGUUUGCCAGUUUUUGUGUGGCACUUUGGAUAGUUGUGCAGGUAUUACUUAAUCCAAAGUCUGCCUUUGGCCAUUUGUGAACCACCUGAAACAGAUUUCUGCUCACAUGAUGAGUUCGAUACCGCCCCAGUCUGAUCACUAUGACUGAAAGGUAUUUUCUGAGCUGUGAGUUUGCCUUAGAGUGGGAAGUUAGUCUUUUAAUAAAAUGUCUGUUGAGACCUACACAGCCUAUUAGGGUGUCCCAUUCCUCUGGUAAUGGUUGACUUAGUUCCCAAUCUCUGUUUUGCAGGUGAAAGGUGUAAGCCAUACUCUGCUCAACUCCAGUCUGAAACUGAGGUUAGUAAAUAAAGAACACGUACUUAACACACGGGAAUCCAACUCUUGGAGGACAUCAGAAGUGGAAUUUUCUUAUACAACCUACCUAUUCAAAUUAGCAUAUAAUCUUUCUAGCCUUUCUAAAUAAAUAAAGGGAUUUUUUUGU